UUAGACCAUUCAGAGACAACGACAAGUGACCAGAGGCAGAGGGUGGGGGGGUCAGUGAGGGGUGAUCGCUGGAGACCAUCGCUUUAAGUUCAGGGGCUUUGCACAGGUACCAGCCAUGCCCAACUGCAUUGUCGCCGGUUGCACCAGCAAGCAGAACAAACCCAACACCAUGAAAGGGGUCAUUUUACACGUGUUUCCUCCAGACCUAGAGAGGAUCAAAACUUGGUUACUGCAAACUGGACAGGACUUCGGAGAUCUGGACGAGUUUGCACAAAAAGUCCUGGAUGGCAAAAGAACCGACGCUUACAGAUUAUGCUCCGCCCAUUUUACACUCCAAUGUUACCACGACCGCGCUUCAAAGAAAGCGCUAAGAGCCAACGCUGUGCCCACCAUUUUUCACAACAAAGAAGCAACAAGUCAACAAAAAUGCACAAAAAAAAAUAAAAGAUCGACCACUUCAGCAAAUGGAACAGACAUCUACCGCAAAACCAAAGAGGCAAGCACCCAAACCUGUCCGCUUCUUGGCACAAAGACCGCGAAGUCUCUUCGGUCGAAAUCGCACAUUGUUACUGAUUCACACAAAAUGGACGAAAUAAGGAAAACAUUCACCGAAAAGAUAUUCGAUCUCACCCUGGGGAUCGUCUACCUGCUGAUUGGAGAGGACUUUGCAGUGGUGAAGACUUCUGGUGAGUGUGUGACAUCCCACACCUAUCCCCAUAUGUCAGGAGGAAGGAGCAGUACCCAAAGCCCCACAAUGGAGAUUCUACCUCCUUCUCCGACACCUGAGAGAAACUACGAGAAGAUCCUAGAAGUCACCAACCAGAUCAUUGAUCUGCUGACAGGAGAGGGUGAAAAUUUAGUAAAGGUAAAGAUUGAAGUAAAAUCUGAACAUGAAGAGCCCUAUGUGAUGGGUGAUGAGGUGUGCAUAAGUGAGGAGAUCCCUCCAGAGAUCGGUACAGACCCCGGAGACACCAGAACCACCCAGAGAGACAUUAAAGUCAAGGAGGAGGAAGAAGUACACGUGUGGAUUAAAGAGGAGGAAGUUCCUAUGGAGAUCGGCACAGACCCCGGACACACGAGUGCCACUCAGAGUAAUGUCAAAGCUGAGGAGGAGGAAGGAGAACAUGUGAGGAUUAAAGAGGAGGACAUUCCUCCCGAGAUCAGCACAGGUGAAAAAUACAACAUGGAGACAAAUUCCGUUAGCCUUCCCAAUGAUGAAACAGAUGAUGAUGAUGUCACAGAUGAUUCUUCAGAUGAAAAUCCCAUUGCUCCCAAUUCAAAUGCAGAAUUUCACAGUACACAUCGAUAUCCUGAUCCUCCCACACAUGGGACAAGCUUUUCUGAUCACUCCUAUCCCAUCCCUCAUCAUGUAGAUCGUAGAGGAGGUGAAGCUGUUCUGUCUGCCGAAAACGGCAGACCUCCUCACACCUGUCCUCUGUGCGCAAAAGGCUUCCCCGACAAGUUCCUCCUGCGCAAACACGAGAAGACUCACAAAGGGGAGAUGCCCUAUUAUUGUCCGGAGUGUGGGAAAGAUUACCUUCACAAAUCAAGAUUCAUAUCGCAUCGAAGGAUUCACACGGGAGAGAAACCGUAUUCGUGUUCUAAGUGCGGGAAGAGCUUUGCAAAUAAACCUGAUCUGGUCAGACAUCACCGAAUGCACACCGGGGAAAAGCCUUUUUCAUGUUCUGACUGUGGGAAACGUUUCGCGCAGAGGGUGCAUCUUCUUUCCCAUCAGAAAAAACAUGCGCUUGAGAAGCAAUAAUGGGAAUUUUCUACCUUCUUGGCCAAGUACCUACAAGAGGAUUCUAGUGGAAAUUCUGUGCUUUCGUGUAUUUUGUUUCCUGUCAUCUGAAUGGCAAUUUGAUGGCUAUAUGAAACCCAUAUACACGAUAUUGUCAAAAGUAUUGGGACACCUGCCUUUACACGCACAUAGCCUGCACAUCCAGCUUUUGUCCGAAAAUUUGGAAUCGACUUUAGAAAGCACCAUCAGAAAAUCGGCAGAUCGUUCAUCGGACAAAAUUUUACUUCCGAUUUUUCUGAUCGUGCUUAGGGGCCUUCAGUCCAUAGUGCCUGACCUCAAAAAUGCGCUUCUGGAAGAACGGUCAAACAUUCCCAUAGACACACUCCUAUACCUUGUGGACA